CCUACGUGAGGCAGCAGUGGGGAAUAUUGGGCAAUGGAGGCAACUCUGACCCAGCAACGCCGCGUGAGCGAUGAAGGUCUUCGGAUUGUAAAGCUCUUUAAGCGGGGACGAAGAAAGUGACUGUACCCGCAGAAUAAGCCUCGGCUAACUACGUGCCAGCAGCCGCGGUAAUACGUAGGAGGCAAGCGUUAUCCGGAAUGACUGGGCGUAAAGGGUGCGUAGGUGGUUUGGCAAGUUGGUAGCGUAAUCCAGGGGCGCAACCUCGGUUCUACUACCAAAACUGGUGAACGUGAGUGCAGGAGGGGUGAAUGGAAUGACAAGGGUAGCGGUGGAAGGCGUAGAGAUUGGGAAGAACACCAGCGGCGAAGGCGAUUCACUGGACUGUAACUGACACUGAGGGACGAAAGCGUGGGGAGCAAACAGGAUUAGAUACCCGAGUAGUC
rnacentral:rRNA from 1 species